GGGUCCUUAGCUCAGCGGUUAGAGCAGGCGGCUCAUAACCGCUUGGUCGCUGGUUCGAUUCCAGCAGGACCCA
rnacentral:tRNA from 1 species